CUUGUCCUCUCUCGAUCAUUUUCGUUUCCUCUUUCUCUUAUCCUCUCUCAUUCCAUCUGUUUCCACUCUUCUCCCUCUCAUCACUCGCCUCUCCUUCUUCAAACGAAAACCCUCACACGGCAUACUCUCUCCAUCUUCAAACGAACGGUGGCCAACCCCUCAUUCUUCUCUUUCUCAGAUGUGGCGGUGGUGGAUACACUCCCUUUUAAACCCUCAAACCCUAAUUCUAUUACAUUUGCGGCGCUGCAGAACUCUCUUCACUCUACGGCCGUAUCCAUAAUGUUUGUUAACAAACCCUUCUCCCACUUCUCUGACGGCUUCCACCACCUCGGUCAUUCCAAUUUCCAAACCAUAAUGGCACCUAAGAAGGAGAAGGCACCGCCACCGUCGUCAAAGCCGGCAAAAUACGGAGGAAGAAAACAGAAGAAGAAGAAGAAAUGGAGCAAGGGUAAGCAAGAGGAAAAGGUCAAUAACAUGGUUUUGUUCGACCAAGGCACCUACGAUAAGCUUCUGACUGAAGCUCCCAAAUUAAUGGAUCUUUGGCACGUGCGAUCAAAGAUUUAAUGGCGAGAUGUUUGAUUAGCUGCAGGGCUGAUAUUAAGUAAGUGAAUGAUGGAGCUUCAGAGUUGGCCAAGGGUUUCGGUUGUGUUCUGAAUUGACCAUGACUGGUUCUGUUUCUCUUUGCGACGCAGGGUUUGAAUGCAAUUCAGUUAACUAAUGCAGCAGGUACCUGAAUAUGUGAUGCUGAGUUGUGGUUUGUUGGCAGGCUGAUUUGUGCAGGGCUCAUGGUUCAUCAUAGUGAGGUUGGAAUAUGCUGAGUGUCUUGGACUGAAUUUCCUGGAUCGUUUCGAUUUGGCAGAAAUGUGUUGGUGACCCUGAAGCUGAUGUGGAGAAUGAAGUUCUAAAGAUCGAACAAACAGCACAGAUUGGGGGAGGAUCUCGUGGCGAUGUAACCAUCUUGCCAAGACAGAAGUGCUAAUGUAACUGCUUGCAAGUUUAUGAGCAGAAGAAGAAAAAAAGUAUAGAAGAAAAUGUCAAUAACAUUACUUGUAGCACUCUAUCAGUUUAGACAGGAGAACCUUCCAGCAUGUAAACCUGUCCUUACACCUGCAGCAGUCAUUUCUACAUUUCUAUUGAUGGGUUUAAUUUUUAUUCCUGUUGGAAUUGUUACACUUCGUGCGUCGUAUAGUGUUGUUGAAAUUGUGGACAGAUAUGACAAUGACUGUGUACCCGAAGAAUACCGUGAUUUCGCUCUCAUGACUAUUUUGAAACUACUCUAAAUUUUAUCUUCUGCCCUCUAGAUGAAAACAUGUAAUAUUUAUAUAGAUGACCUUAUUUGUUUGGUGCAAAGACUUCAUGCUGUAAGUUAUACUCUGUCUUUUUGUCUAAAUCAUU